CACGCCCUAAACGAUGCAUAUUUGGUGUGGGCAGUUCAGUCUGUCCGUGCCGGAGCUAACGCGUUAAAUAUGCCGCCUGGGGAGUACAGUCGCAAGGCUGAAACUCAAAGGAAUUGACGGGGGCCCGCACAAGCGGUGGAGCAUGUGGUUCAAUUCGACGCAACGCGAAGAACCUUACCUAGGCUCGAACGGCUGGUCAACGCCGGUGGAAACAUCGGUACCCCGCAAGGGGGUCCAGUCGAGGUGCUGCAUGGCUGUCGUCAGCUCGUGUCGUGAGAUGUUGGGUUA
rnacentral:rRNA from 1 species